rnacentral:rRNA from 1 species
GACGAACGCUGGCGGCGUGCUUAACACAUGCAAGUCGAACGCUGAAGCUCAGCUUUUGUUGGGUGGAUGAGUGGCGAACGGGUGAGUAACACGUGAGUAACCUGCCUCCUUCUUUGGGAUAACGCCCGGAAACGGGUGCUAAUACUGGAUAUUCACUGGUCUUCGCAUGGGGGUUGGUGGAAAGGGUUUUUCUGGUGGGGGAUGGGCUCGCGGCCUAUCAGCUUGUUGGUGGGGUGAUGGCCUACCAAGGCUUUGACGGGUAGCCGGCCUGAGAGGGUGACCGGUCACAUUGGGACUGAGAUACGGCCCAGACCCCUACGGGAGGCAGCAGUGGGGAAUAUUGCACAAUGGGCGCAAGCCUGAUGCAGCGACGCCGCGUGAGGGAUGGAGGCCUUCGGGUUGUGAACCUCUUUCGCUCAUGGUCAAGCCGCAACAAUGGUUGUGGUGAGGGUAGUGGGUAAAGAAGCGCCGGCUAACUACGCG